rnacentral:tRNA from 1 species
UGGGGUAUAGCUCAGUGGUAGAGUGUGUGCCUAGCAUGUACAAGAUUCUAGUUCAAUCCCCAGUACCUCCA